GGCUGUUCUCAGGUGACGCAGCUCAGAAUCAGGCUCCCUCCUCUCUUGUUCUGGGUGUGUCACCUGAGAACCACA
rfam:Myotis davidii contig25491, whole genome shotgun sequence.